GACUAAUGCAUAGAAUAUUCCAGUUUGUGAACAGCUGAAGUCGGCUUCUUUUUGAAAAGAAAAUUAAAUAUGUUGAGUCUCUAAUCCUGUUAGACAAAUUUUAACUGAUUUUUAAUAAAUUCUGGCAGCCUUGUGUGUGAUACUGCCUUGAUUUCACUACUAAGAUAAAACAGUUCAUGAUUUUGGUUUUAAGGAUAAUUGGUCCUGUUUAUUACAAUCUAGAAGAUCUCAUUUUACAGAUCAUGUUUCACCUGAGAGCAGAUUGUUAAGUCCUUUGUGCAGAUACUGAAGGCGGCCAACAAGAUGCCUGUGUUUCUCUGUGGUUUAACAACACUUAUCUUUUUGAGUCAACUUCAUUCCAUGCAGAAAGUUUGAACAAAGUAUACUGACUUUGAAACAGAUUCACACAGCUUAGUAGGAGGUGUCUAACAGUCUUCAUAAUACUCCGUACCAAAUAUAGAAAAGUUCUCUUGAGUGUUCUGCUUUGGCAUAAGACCACCAUCUCAAUUCCUCUGCAAAGCUUUCUGUGCUGUCUUUCCACUUGGCCAUGCCUUCACUUUCAGAUGGAUGUGUGGAACACUUACUAGAUCGAUGGCAUAGGCUGGAGCUAUGGAAAUGUACAGAAAAUUAACUUCUGUUAUUUCUAAAAUUUUAUUUAACCUUAGAGAAUGAGGAACAGAGCAUGUUGCACUGCCAGUUACGUAUUCCAGUUUAUAUCCAGUUGCUAUCAUUCCUCACUGCAAAUGAGGACCCAACAUGUUCUUUUCAGUUAUUUGCUAUUCUAUAGUCCUUGAUUGUGUUGAUUUUUCUUGCUUCUGGUCUGGGUCUUGUGAGUAUUAGAAGCAUUAUGCAGCAAUGAAACAAGACUUUUGUUUCAGAAUAAUAAACAACUCUGAGCAGCCGUUGGUGUUAGUUUUUUAAAAUACUGUUCAUUACACAGCCUGACCCCUUUCACACACACACUGUGGCAUUUUUUUAUUUUUCACCAUUUUGUGUAAAACAGUUCAAAAUACAUUUAAAUAACUAUCUCAUUGUAACAGAUGUGUUAAGGCUUAUACAGCAAUCCAGUAUCAGUCA